UGGCGUGGGCUAUAGAAAACUAUUACAUAAGAAACGAAAGCUGUGGAAUUAAAGUAACUCGGCAGUUUUAGCUAUAUAAAAAGUGGGUCCCGAUUAUUUAGGAGUUUAUAGUGGAAGUUAUUUAGCGUACAAAGUAGUUAGUGUUAAUUGUGUUUUAAUAAUAAUAGAUAUAUGAAUGGCAAUCUUAUUUAAAUUAGUUAAAAAAAUCUUUUUUAUGAAACGUGUUCACAUAUUUUCGGUAUUAUUCGAAAAGUUGCUAGACUAAAUUAUAAAUAAAAAAAUGGUUACUGUAUAAAACAUAUAAUAU
rnacentral:lncRNA from 1 species